AUGGCACCACCGUCGCCGUCGCCGUCGCCGCGAGUGUGCGUGACCGGGGGCGGCGGGUACAUCGCUUCAUGGCUCGUCAAGCUGCUCCUCUCCCGGGGCUACGCCGUCCACGCCACCGUCCGCGACCCAUGUGACCAGAAGAACGCGCAUCUGAUGCAGCUGGACGGCGCGGCGGAGAGCCUGAGCUUGUUCAAGGCCGACGUGCUGGACAGCGCCGCGCUGGCGGCCGCCGUCGAGGGGUGCGAGGGCGUCUUCCAUGUCGCCUCCCCCGUCCCUGCGGAUAAGAUCGCCGAUCCUGAGUCAGAAGUCAUGGUGCCUGCCGUGAAGGGCACCUUAAAUAUUCUUGAGGUUUGUUCAUCUCUGAAGGUUCAGAAGGUUGUGGUGGUGUCAUCCACUGCUGCCGUUCAUUAUGAUCCCAACUGGCCUCAGGGUAAACCCAAAGACGAGAGUUGCUGGUCGGACAGAAAAGUUUGCCGGGACAAUGAGAUCUGGUAUUGUCUUGCUAAAACAGUUGCUGAAGAGACAGUUUGGGAAUAUGCAGAGAAGAACGAGCUAAAUGCUGUUACAGUAUGCCCUUGUAUUGUUUUGGGGCCACAAUUGCAACGUGUUGUCAAUACUACAAGCGAACUCCUUCUCUAUGUCAUAAAAGGAGGUCCUGAUGUGUUGAAUGACAUGCUGUGGCACAUAGUCGAUGUCCGUGAUGUGGCGGAUGCCCUGCUUCUGGUAUAUGAGAAACCAGAAUCAUCCGGGAGGUAUAUCUGCGCACCGAAUUACAUUAGCGCAAAGGCUAUGCUGGAGUUUCUAAAGAAGAGGUACCCUGGCUACAACUAUGUAAAAUGCAAGGCUGAUGUGCAUCAGAACUCUCGUAUCACGCCGAUCGUGUCGGGAAAAUUGAGUGAUCUGGGCUGGAAGCCGAGGGCACUGGAGGAGACGCUUCUGGACAGCAUCGAAUACCACCGGAAGACGGGAAAUCUGCAGGAUGUGGAGGGACAGACCUACCGCCUUCCUGAUAUUUUCCGUCAUUUUCAAGCUGCCAACGAAUGA
rnacentral:rRNA from 1 species